rnacentral:tRNA from 1 species
GGUAGCAUGGCUCCAAUGAUAGAGCACCAGCCUGGAAAGCAUGAGGCCUGAGUUCACACCCCAGUACUGCCA